AUUAGCAUUGAUAGAUUUUUUUUCUCACAAAGUUUGCAAGUAACAGUAGUCGCAAACAUUGCCAUCUCUCUAAAGUAAAUUUGAUGACAUCAUAUGGCAAAGUUGUUUCCUACUAAUUAUUUGCCUACUUUAGCGGUGCCAUCUUAUCCCCAUGCCACUGUAAAUUAGUGUAAUUUAGACUAAACAGUCAUAUUAGCCUCCCAGAGGAGCAACCCAUAUCAAAUAAAUAUUGGAUGCAGCUAUGGUGGUACUAGCCAGCUCAUGUCUGACUACAACAGUCACAGUUGGUGGCAUAUUAUAGCGGCGUCACCGGCCUGAAUCUAAUCCAAUCCGGAAGCAGUCAGUCUACAUAGAAUUUGAGAUGACGUUAUUACUUUAUUUCUCAAGCUAUGUUUAUAAAUGAGUGUUGAUGACAUUAGUUGACCCUGCCAGACUGAUCCCCCUAGUCAUGAACGGAUGCCGGGACCUACCAGAAAGGGAAAAGAUGGGUAUAGUAACAUGUCCUUCAAUGUGUGAUUGCAAUGGUUUAGCGAUAAUUUCAUUCACUGUUCACUUGCUAUUUUCACAGUUUGUCAGGUGAGACCUCAGAAUAAGUGUGUCAUGAGACCUUUGUGACACCUGUCUUGUUGCCAGAGUCUCACUUGAAUACCAUGAAAAGGAAAUCUUAAAGCGUCUGAUAGUGACCCGAGUUACCACCCUGAUGACACAGACAGCUUCAUUAACAACGACAGGCCCUCCCAGUCAACACCACCUCAUAAGAUUGUCUGCUGCAGAUAUUGGAGGGAUGUCCAAUUUGCAGCCGAACAUGUAUCAUAGAGAAGACCAACAAGGGGGUCAUGCUGACAGGCCCCCGCUGUGAGUUUUCCUAUGAAUGGAACAGUCAGCCAGAGACGCAACUUUCACUGGGUACAUGCCCCCCCCCACAUACUGAAAUUGUAUAUAUGUGACUCACCACCUGGAUUCGGUCUUAUGUAGCAACAUUUGAAAUUGUUUUUUAUUUUUACAUUGGAUAAAAGUAGAGACUCAGAGCUACAAAAUUGUAUAUCAUACACUGCAGUUGAGGAACAAUGGGAAAGUAAUUCUGCUUUGAAAGUUGAUAAACUUGUAAACUCACUUUUGGGAAAAUGGCACACUUGAUCAUUUGUUUACCUAGGGAUAACAUGAAAACAGCCUAACCAGCCCUGCUGGCAACAAUUUCAUUACGCUUUUUUUGCAGACGUUUACUGACACCGGCCAUAUUCAACAAUGCCACGGUGCUGGAAGCUAACCAACCAGGUUCAAUGUUAGCUAGCUAACAUUAGGCUCUAACUAGAAAAGUAAAUGGCUCUGAGAUACAAAUAAUAACAUCAGAUAGAGAGCCAGCCAGCUAACGUUAGCUAGCUAGCUAACAGUGCACUUUAGCUUAAGACAUGUUGCUAGCUAGCUAGGUAAACAAUGUUUAGAAUCACACACGUCACGAAACGUUAGCUAACAUUAGCUAGUUAAUACUAAACAACAAUGAACACAGUGCCAAAUCAUGUCAUUACUACUCAGCAUGAAUACGACUCUGGGAUACAAAUUAUAACGUCAGCUAGGGAGCCAGCCAGCUAACGCUAGCUAGCUAGUUAACAGUACACUUUAGCUUGAAAUGAAACCACUUUCUGUCAAGAUUAGAAACGUGUAAUAUCUGAAAAUGUAGCUAGCUAAUGCUAGAUUAUUUUACCUAUAUACAUCAUCAUGCAUGAUGGACGGGUCUCCCUUUCAGGAAUGCCAUACCACGGUUGCCCUUAGCUUGAACAUGUAAUCCGGAGACAGGCGUUUUCUCCAUCACUUUAGCUAUCAUACUCCAAUUCCACUGAUUUCAAAAGUUGAAAGUGGAGACCAACACUUAUGCAGCUCCACUACACAAUACAUGAAAAAUCCGCAUUGGACAGGAUUACCAACACAGACUGAUGAGCUCAAAUAGACAGAAGCCUUCUAUAUGGCAGACCAAUCAGAACUCCUCUCUCAGCAUGUCCAGCCCACUUAUUAACUCAGUCAAUCAUGGCUAGUGGGAAGGUUGCUUGUUCUGUGGCUUAACCAACAAAGCUCGUAAUUUAACAAUUUUAUUUGUAUUUACAGAUGGCAUUCAAGUUUGUUAUUAAGGCACAUGUUCGAGAAGGCAUUUCUGCCAAAAACCCGUUUUCUUAAAUACAUUUUUUUAAAUAACGUUCAAAUGGCUCUCCUGUGAAGUCGUGACUUACAGCAUAUGCCUAGUUUCCUCAAUCGGGUCACAUCUGUCCUCCUCAGAUUUAUCAUUGGAAUGUGAUACAAAACAAGGCAACGGUGUGCUUUAGGACCACACGGAUGCCUCCGAACAGCCGGGUCGGCUGUUGAGUGUUUUUCAAAGUGGAUAUAAUAAUACUUUUUUUUCCUUUAAAAAAAAAAGAAUCCCGCCCCACUUCUAAAACCAAAGUUGCGCCCCUGCAGUCAGCAAACAGGUUCCGUUAGCGCCCCCCCCCGGGAAAAAAUACUAAAAGUCGACAAAUAAAACUGUUGCCGGCCAAAAUGACCAGGAGAAAAACAAUCCCAUUCCAAAAUAAUGAUUUAUAUUCAGUGAUGGGGAAAAAAAUCAGUCGAUGUGAGUACAUUCGACCGUCAUGCUUAUCGAUCAAUAGGUUAAUUUGGAUAAUAUAGUGUAAAUAAAUUGUGUUCAUUUUCGUUAGUCAUCAUGUAUCUUUAUAUUUGUUCAACACAACUAUCACACGCACAGCAUACAGAGAUUUAUUUUGAGAGGGAUUUCUCCUAAUGCUCCUCUUGCAGCUGGAGUUAAACAUGCUUUUAGAAGCCCACUCAUUGCACAACAAUUCUAAAUGUGAUUGCAUGUUAAAAACAAUUGUGGUGCAUGAUUAAAAAAAGAGCUACUAUUUUUAUUUCUCAACUGGUAAUUGAAGAGCGCCUCCAAAUUCACCAUUCAACUGCAAGCAACAGGCCAUCAGGAAAUAUGCAUUUGGAAAUUAUACUUAAUGGUUUGAAACCUGAAUAUUUUACUACAUAUUAUGAGGCAUGUCUAACCCUUCUUCAAAGUAGCCUAUAGACAAAAUCCCACCAUAGAAACUUAGGCGAUUAUUUUAUAAAGACUUCAUUGGUGGCGGGAAUUUCAAGUUGGAGAUACUUAUAGCCUACUGUUUCUACCGAUGACAUAACGUGUGCCUGUUUAAUUUUAAUAAUAAAAAUCUGAAUGAAAUUGAAGAAAAUCUCAAAUUCAACAAAAUGCGAGAACACCAGCCUCUGCCAAAUGGACACAUUGAUCCAGGUAAGACUGUAGCUCGUUAAGCGAAGAAGUGUUUGGGGAUAAAAAGGGAAAGCAGCAUGCACAACGAGGCAGAGUAGGAGAGAACUAAGAGCGUUAUGAAGAGAGCAUACUAUCUGUGAGAUUAUAUCGGGCGGCAGGGUAGCCUAGUGGUUAGAGCGUUGGACUAGUAACCGGAAGGUUGCGAGUUCAAACCCCCGAGCUGACAAGGUACAAAUCUGUCGUUCUGCCCCUGAACAGGCAGUUAACCCACUGUUCCUAGGCCGUCAUUGAAAAUAAGAAUUUGUUCUUAACUGACUUGCCUGGUUAAAUAAAGGUAAAAUAAAAAAAUAAAAAUGACAUGUUGUGCCUUGGACUGUCGGACUCCCUUGUGUACCGGACCGGAUUAUCCUGAGGACCCGAGUGUGAGGAUUACCCUGGAAAAUGGAACGUGGACUGUGAGGUGAUUGGUGAAUUCCCCCCGUCUUUCCCUGUGUACAAAAAUCCCUAAUAAACUUCCCCCUUGAGUUCUA